rnacentral:rRNA from 1 species
AUUAACGCUGGCGCCAUGCCUAAUACAUGCAAAUCGAACGAAGCCUUUAUGGCUUAGUGGUGAACGGGUGAGUAACACGUAUCCAAUCUACCCUUAAGUUGGGGAUAACUAAUCGAAAGAUUAGCUAAUACCGAAUAAUAACAUCAUUAUCGUAUGAGAAGAUGUAGAAAGUUGCGUUUGCAACGCUUUUGGAUGAGGGUGCGACGUAUCAGAUAGUUGGUGAGGUAACGGCUCACCAAGUCAAUGACGCGUAGCUGUACUGAGAGGUAGAACAGCCACAAUGGGACUGAGACACGGCCCAUACUCCUACGGGAGGCAGCAGUAGGGAAUUUUUCACAAUGGGCGAAAGCCUUAUGAAGCAAUGCCGCGUGAACGAUGAAGGUCUUAUAGAUUGUAAAGUUCUUUUAUAUGGGAAGAAUGCUAAGAUAGUAAAUGAUUAUUAGUUUGACUGUACCAUUUGAAUAAGUAUCGGCUAACUAUGUGCCAGCAGCCGCGGUAAUACAUAGGAUGCAAGCGUUAUCCGGAUUUACUGGGCGUAAAACGAGCGCAGGCGGAUUUGUAAGUUUGGUAUGAAAUCUAGAUGCUUAACGUCUAGCUGUAUCAAAAACUACAAAUCUAGAGUGUAGUAGAGAGUUGGGGAACUCCAUGUGGAGCGGUAAAAUGCGUAGAUAUACGGAAGAACACCGGUGGCGAAGGCGCCAACUUGGACUAUCACUGACGCUUAGGCUCGAAAGUGUGGGGAGCAAAUAGGAUUAGAUACCCUAGUAGUCCACACCGUAAACGAUGAUCAUUAAAUGUCGGCUCGAAUGAGUCGGUGUUGUAGCUAACGCAUUAAAUGAUCUGCCUGGGUAGUACAUUCGCAAGAAUGAAACUCAAACGGAAUUGACGGGGACCCGCACAAGUGGUGGAGCAUGUUGCUUAAUUUGACAAUACACGUAGAACCUUACCUAGGUUUGACAUCUAUUGCAAUGCUAUAGAAAUAUAGCGGAGGCUAACAAUAUGACAGGUGGUGCAUGGUUGUCGUCAGCUCGUGUCGUGAGAUGUUGGGUUAAGUCCCGCAACGAGCGCAACCCCUUUCGUUAGUUACUUUAUCUAGCGAUACUGCUACCGCAAGGUAGAGGAAGGUGGGGAUGACGUCAAAUCAUCAUGCCCCUUAUAUCUAGGGCUGCAAACGUGCUACAAUGGCUAAUACAAAUUGCUGCAAUACCGUAAGGUGGAGCGAAUCAAAAAAGUUAGUCUCAGUUCGGAUAGAGGGCUGCAAUUCGUCCUCUUGAAGUUGGAAUCACUAGUAAUCGCGAAUCAGACAUGUCGCGGUGAAUACGUUCUCGGGUCUUGUACACACCGCCCGUCAAACUAUGGGAGCUGGUAAUAUCUAAAACCGCAACGCUAACCGUAAGGAGGCAUGCGUCUAGGGUAGGAUCGGUGACUGGAGUUAAGUCGUAACAAGGUAUCCCU